GGGCGUGUAGCUCAGCGGGAGAGCACUACGUUGACAUCGUAGGGGUCACAGGUUCAAUCCCUGUCACGCCCA
rfam:Rhizobium freirei PRF 81 Cont721, whole genome shotgun sequence.